rnacentral:lncRNA from 1 species
AAACAUAUGCAUGCAUUGGUAGCGUUUGGUUCGAGUAUAAGUAAGAACUAGCUAUUACAGGGAUGGGUACAAGUAUGGGGAUAAAAAAAAUAGUGUUUGGAUGAAAAUUGAGUUAUUUUCGGGGAUAAGAAAAAUAACGUGUGGAUAGAUAAUAUGGAAUAAGAAAAAUAGUCGAUAGUUAUAUAUAGAAAAUGGAGGUGUUGGUGGGGAUAGUUAUAUCCGGUUAUUAUAGGUAAUCGAGAACUACUAUUUUCAGAUAAAAAAUUAGCGUUUGGGUAUAAAGGAGAGGUUAUUCCGCCCCUUAUCCCCAAUCCAAACUGUGCGGGUGGAAUAAGAACAAAUUAAGCAUUAUCCUUGUACUAUAUAUUAAUCCAACUUAGUGGGCAUAGUGACAAGCCACUACCUGCCAAUCCAACUUUCACUAAUCUAAAGAAAAUAAUGUCAAUAUUUUCAUUUACGCGUACGAUAGAGAUGUGAUAGUUAUACAUCUCAAAAUGAGGUGUAUAAUAUAUACCAUAGUUAGUUAAUUCGGAUUCGGCAAAAAUUCGGUACGGGUAUAAUUCGGAUAAAAUUCGUCUUUUAAUUUUUAAAUUCGUUAAAAAAUACGGCUAAAAAACGGAUUCGGUAAUUAUUCGGAUACGUGAUUUAUACGGGUAUUAUACGUUCAUCAAUUAAAAAUUCGGGAUCAAAAAUUCGGCUAUAUUUUAAAUAUAUAAUAAUUAAUAUACUAUAUAUAUUAUUAUUAUAAUUUUAUAAUAUAAAUUAAAUAUAUUCAUAUAUUAAUAAUAAAUAUAUAUUAAUAAUAUAUAAGAUUUAUAUA